rnacentral:rRNA from 1 species
CACGUAGUUAGCCGGCGCUUCUUAUCCAGCUACCGUCAACCCACCCACACAGGGACAGGCCUGCUUCACUGGCGAAAGAGGUUCACAACCCGAAGGCCUCCAUCCCUCACGCGGCGUCGCUGCAUCAGGCUUGCGCCCAUUGUGCAAUAUUCCCCACUGCUGCCUCCCGUAGGAGUCUGGGCCGUGUCUCAGUCCCAGUGUGACCGUCCACCCUCUCAGGCCGGCUACCCGUCACCGCCUUGGUAGGCCAUCACCCCACCAACAAGCUGAUAGGCCGCGAGCCCAUCCCCCACCAAAAACACCCAAAGGCGCAAUCUUUCCCACACCCACCAUGCAGCAGGCACAGAAUAUCCCGUAUUAGCCACACUUUCAUGCGGUUAUCCAGAAGAAGGGGGCAGGUUACUCACGUGUUACUCACCCGUUCGCCACUCAUCCACACCCACCACAAUAGGAAGGCGCUUCACCGUUCGACUUGCAUGUGUUAAGCACGCCGCC